GAUGAACGCUGGCGGCGUGCCUAAUACAUGCAAGUCGAGCGAACGGACGAGAAGCUUGCUUCUCUGAUGUUAGCGGCGGACGGGUGAGUAACACGUGGAUAACCUACCUAUAAGACUGGGAUAACUUCGGGAAACCGGAGCUAAUACCGGAUGAUAUUUUGAACCGCAUGGUGCAAAAGUGAAAGACGGUCUUGCUGUCACUUAUAGAUGGAUCCGCGCUGCAUUAGCUAGUUGGUAAGGUAACGGCUUACCAAGGCAACGAUGCAUAGCCGACCUGAGAGGGUGAUCGGCCACACUGGAACUGAGACACGGUCCAGACUCCUACGGGAGGCAGCAGUAGGGAAUAUUCCGCAAUGGGCGAAAGCCUGACGGAGCAACGCCGCGUGAGUGAUGAAGGUCUUCGGAUCGUAAAACUCUGUUAUUAGGGAAGAACAUAUGUGUAAGUAAAUGUGCACAUCUUGACGGUACCUAAUCAGAAAGCCACGGCUAACUACGUG
rnacentral:rRNA from 1 species